GAUGAACGCUAGCGGCAGGCCUAACACAUGCAAGUCGAGGGGUAGAAGGAGCUUGCUCCUUUGAGACCGGCGCACGGGUGCGUAACGCGAAUGCAAUCUACCUUGUACAGGGGAAUAGCCCAGAGAAAUUUGGAUUAAUGCCCCAUAGUAUAUAACCUUCGCAUGUUGGUUAUAUUAAAGUUCCAACGGUACAAGAUGAGCAUGCGUCCCAUUAGUUAGUUGGUAAGGUAACGGCUUACCAAGACGAUGAUGGGUAGGGGUCCUGAGAGGGAGAUCCCCCACACUGGUACUGAGACACGGACCAGACUCCUACGGGAGGCAGCAGUGAGGAAUAUUGGUCAAUGGUCGCAAGACUGAACCAGCCAUGCCGCGUGCAGGAAGACGGUCCUAUGGAUUGUAAACUGCUUUUAUACAGGAAGAAACCCUCCCACGUGUGGGAGCUUGACGGUACUGUAGGAAUAAGGAUCGGCUAACUCCGUG
rnacentral:rRNA from 1 species